rnacentral:rRNA from 1 species
AAAACUUUUAACAACGGAUCUCUUGGCUCCAGCAUCGAUGAAGAACGCAGCGAAACGCGAUAUGUAAUGUGAAUUGCAGAAUUCAGUGAAUCAUCGAAUCUUUGAACGCACAUGGCGCCUUCCAGUAUCCUGGGAGGCAUGCCUGUCCGAGCGUCGUUUCAA